rnacentral:rRNA from 1 species
UCUUUUAAUUGAGGACUGGAAUGAAAGGGUAAACUGGAAAAGCUUUUUUAAGAAUAAAGAAAUGAAGUUGACUUUUUAGUAAGAAGGCUAAAAUGUUUCUUAAAGACGAGAAGACCCUAUAAAACUUUAUAUUUUAAUUUCCUUUAGAAUAGAAAUUUAAAUAUUUAACUGGGGCGGUGGGGAAAAAAUCUUUCCUUAAAGAUAAAGACUUUAAGUUUUAAUAUCUAAAACUUUUAAAAGAAGAAUAAGUUACUUUAGGGAUAACAGCUUUAUUCAUUUUGAUAGUUCUAAUUGACAAAUGAGUUUGUGACCUCGAUG